AACGAACGCUGGCGGCAGGCCUAACACAUGCAAGUCGAACGAGAAGCCACCUUCGGGUGGUGGACAGUGGCAGACGGGUGAGUAACGCGUGGGAACGUGCCUUUCGGUUCGGAAUAACCCAGGGAAACUUGGGCUAAUACCGGAUACGCCCUUCGGGGGAAAGAUUCAUUGCCGAAAGAUCGGCCCGCGUCGGAUUAGCUAGUUGGUGGGGUAAUGGCUCACCAAGGCGACGAUCCGUAGCUGGUCUGAGAGGAUGACCAGCCACACUGGGACUGAGACACGGCCCAGACUCCUACGGGAGGCAGCAGUGGGGAAUAUUGGACAAUGGGCGAAAGCCUGAUCCAGCCAUGCCGCGUGGGUGAAGAAGGCCUUAGGGUUGUAAACCCCUUUCAGCGGGGAAGAUAAUGACGGUACCCGCAGAAGAAGUCCCGGCUAACUCCGUGC
rnacentral:rRNA from 1 species